rnacentral:lncRNA from 1 species
CAGGCUGUAGGCAAUGGGACCUCCAAAGGAGGCACCCUGUUGAAAUUGGAGGCUCUGCAGGAGAGGGCAGCCAGGGCACGGAGUGUGGAGGUGCCCCUGUAGGAGGAGAAGGUGCUGGUGGUGGACGACGUCACGGCGGUGGUCUAGGUGGUGGUUGAGGAGAAAGCCGACAUGGAGCGGCAGGUGGAGGACCAGUGAACACAGCCUGGCCCUGGCCCCAGCAUGCCCCAGCCGGCCACAGAGUCGCUGGAGGUCCUUCACAGGGAGCUGGGCUCCGUGAAUGCCCCAGGCCACAUGCCCUGCCCAUGGCUGAGGCAGAAGCUUUGUCAGAAGUGUCUGCCUGGCCUGGAGGGCACAGGGGCCAUCAUCCAGGGCAUCUCCGGCUUCUAGGCCAGAGCCAUAGCCGCACACCCAGAUGUCGGCAGGUUUCAGAAACCAUGAGGAAGUCCUGCUAAGUGUGGAGGAACUCAGCCAUCCAGGGUACUGGUGGCAGGAUGAAGUGUUCCUUUUGUCACAGUCUUUAUUUCCACAAUGAAGUGAUCUUUAAGGAAUAUCGUGUUGGCAUCCUGAGCUUCUUCCGCUGGUUGGCUGACCGUGACCACUAAAGGUCAGCCAGGAUUGCUGAGAUCAUUCAGGGCCUCUGUCUCAAUCCCCCUGCAGCACUACCGGAAGGAGUUAGGCCCUCAGAGAGGAAACAGAG